UGAGUUUUGGGAAAAACUUCAAAUAUCACUCCCUAUGAUUUUAUAAUUUCUCACUUCAGUACUCUAUAAUUUAAAUUGGAUUUAAUUUAGUGUCUUGUAGUUUUAUUUUUAUUUUUUGUUAUUAAUUUUACUUUUCUUUUUUUCAUUAGAUUAGUGCCAGAGUUAAAACUAAAGGGUAUUAAAAUGAAUAUUCGAUAAAUCUAGAUGGAGUUUAUGAAUUUUUUUUGUAUAUAAUUUAAAUUAAUAUUAACGGAAAAACUGACGAAAAGAUAAAAAUGAAACCAUGAUACACUUUAAAUCAUAUGGUACUAAAGUGGAAAAGUGCGAAAAUUUAAAGUUUACCUUUAUUAUCUAUAUCUAUCUAUACUAUAAAAGCGUAUAGAAAUUUCGAGAAUGCCAGACGGAAUCUAAAAAAGAAUAAAAUAAUAUUCCCUACGAAUGGUUAUUAUUAAUUUAUUAAAAAUAUCUCAAAUAAAAACGAACGGUUAUGAUCAAUUUAAUAAAUCUCUACUAUAUAUAUAAAAAUCUAUUCCCUAUAAAUGGAUAUGAUCAAUUUGUUAAAAAAAUAUCUCAAAUAAGAACAGUUAUGAUCAAUUUAUUAAAAAAUAGCAUUCCUAUUCAUCUAUAAAUUCAAUUCUAUGAUUAUUAUCAAUUUGUUAAAAAAUAUCUUAAAUAAAAAUAAAUGGUUAUAAUCAAUUUGUUAAAAAAAUAGCAUUCAUACUAAUCUAUUUUACAGUAAAAUUAAAAUUUGAGUUUAAAUUAUGAAUUAAAUUUAAUUUUUGAUAUCAAAUUUGAAUUAACAAUUAAUUUUUUUAUUACAGUGAAUUAAAAUUAAAUUUUAAAUUUUAAAGUAAAUGUGAAUUAAAUUUUGAUGCUUUUAAUUUAAAACACAUAUUUAAAUUUGAUUUAUCAAAAAUUAAAAAAUAUAUAAAAAUGUUCGAUUUAUAUAAAAAAAAGAACACUAUAGGAUAUUGUAAAUAUUUUCUAAUAAAAUAUAACAUAUUAAUUUAUAAAUAUAAUUUUUAUUGUAAAAUUUUGGAUAUAUAUAAGGUACAAAUAUAUAUUGAUUUGAAAUAAAUUAUAAUAAUUGUUACGUGCAUUUGCACAUACAUUCAACUAGUUAUUAUAGAAAAACAUAAUGAGUGGUUUCGCACUUUUUCACUUUAGUAUCAUGUGGUUUAAAGUGUAUCACUUUUGUAUUUUAUAGUUUUAUUUUUUUCUUUUUGUUAUUCCCUCUACUAAUUUUUUUCGUUAAAUCAGUAACAAAGUUAAAACUAAAUGGUACUAAGGUGAAUAUUCGAUAAACUAUAGGUGAGGUAUCUGAAGUUUUUUGUAUAGGGUUUGAUGAAAAGUUAACGGAAGGACCGGUAAAAAAAUAAAAUAAAAUCAUAUGGUACUAAAUUGAUACACUUUAAACCACAGAAUACUAAAAUAAAAAAUAUAAAACUACAGAAUGGUAUUUAAAAUUUACCCUAUUAUUAUUAUUAUUAUUAUUAUUAUUGAUUUUCAUAUUAUGUAAUAUAAGUUGGAAAAAUUAGAAAAGAGAAGUUAGGUAAUAAAGGUGAACAAUAAAUAAAUAAAUAAAUAAAUAAAUAAUUGGGAAUACUCAAACAAGUCUUUUGUUCAACAAUGGUGGUUUCUUUAUAAGGACCACUAAAAUUGAUCCAAUAGCCCAAAAAAGCUAUAGCAUUAACACUAGAGUGCGGCUUGGAUGCUAAUGGAAGCACAGAGGGCUCCGUGCUUUCACUUUAUUUUCAAUGUUCAGACUUUCGAAUCGACGAUCGGCUCCGUUAGACUUGAUCUAGAAUAUUUGAAGCAUCUAGAAAAUAAAUUUUACGAUUUUUCGAUAUCAUUUGCCUAGUGAUCGAAGUGGCUCAAAAUCAACGGCUGAAAAUAAAAAUCUUACAAAAUAUGAUGAUACGACAUUAAAAUUUUAGAUCAAAGUUAUUGAUCUUGUUUUAUAUGGUAUAAAGAAUUUUCUAUCAAAAUUUCAUGUGAUUUGGAUAUUUCUACACCGUUAAACUUGCAACCGGCUCACCACGGCCGUUAAAAUUAUUGAUUUUAAGUCCAUUCGAUCACUAGGCAAAUGAUAUCGAAAAAUCGUAAAAUUUAUUUUCUAGGUACUUCAAAUACUCU
rnacentral:lncRNA from 1 species